rnacentral:rRNA from 1 species
UACGUAGGGGGCAAGCGUUGUCCGGAUUUACUGGGUGUAAAGGGUGCGCAGGCGGAAUGGUAAGUCAGAGGUGAAAUCUCAUCGCUCAACGGUGAAACUGCCUUUGAUACUAUCAUUCUUGAGUCCGAUAGAGAUCUGUGGAAUUCCGAGUGUAGCAGUGAAAUGUGUAGAUAUUCGGAAGAACACCAGUGGCGAAGGCAGCAGAUUGGGUCGGUACUGACGCUCAGGCACGAAAGCAUGGGGAUCAAACAGG